rnacentral:rRNA from 1 species
AGGCAGCAGUGGGGAAUAUUGCGCAAUGGGCGAAAGCCUGACGCAGCGAUGCCGCGUGAGGGACGAAGGUCUUCGGAUUGUAAACCUCUUUCAGCAGGGACGAAGCGAAAGUGACUGUACCUGCAGAAGAAGCACCGGCUAACUACGUGCCAGCAGCCGCGGUAAUACGUAGGGUGCAAGCGUUGUCCGGAUUUAUUGGGCGUAAAGAGCUCGUAGGCGGUCUGUCGCGUCGGAUGUGAAAACCCAAUGGCUUAACCUUGGGCCUGCAUUCGAUACGGGCAGACUAGAGUGUGGUAGGGGAAACUGGAAUUCCUGGUGUAGCGGUGGAAUGCGCAGAUAUCAGGAGGAACACCGAUGGCGAAGGCAGGUUUCUGGGCCAUAACUGACGCUGAGGAGCGAAAGCGUGGGGAGCAAACAGGAUUAGAUACCCUGGUAG